UACGGGGGGAGCAAGCGUUGUUCGGAUUUACUGGGCGUAAAGGGCGCGUAGGCGGUCAGCACAAGUCAGUUGUGAAAUCUCCGGGCUUAACCCGGAAAGGUCAACUGAUACUGUGCGACUAGAGUGCGGAAGGGGCAACUGGAAUUCUCGGUGUAGCGGUGAAAUGCGCAGAUAUCAGGAGGAACACCGGUGGCGAAGGCGGGUCUCUGGGCCGUAACUGACGCUGAGGAGCGAAAGCAUGGGGAGCGAACAGG
rnacentral:rRNA from 1 species